rnacentral:rRNA from 1 species
UACAGGGGGAGCAAGCGUUGUUCGGAUUUACUGGGCGUAAAGGGCGCGUAGGCGGCGUGGUAAGUCAAUUGUGAAAUCUCCGAGCUUAACUCGGAACGGUCAAUUGAUACUGCUGUGCUAGAGUGCAGAAAGGGCAAUCGGAAUUCUUGGUGUAGCGGUGAAAUGCGUAGAUAUCAAGAGGAACACCUGAGGCGAAGGCGGGUUGCUAGGCUGACACUGACGCUGAGGCGCGAAAGCUAGGGGUAGCAAACGGG